rnacentral:rRNA from 1 species
UACGUAGGGUGCAAGCGUUAAUCGGAAUUACUGGGCGUAAAGCGUGCGCAGGCGGUCUUGCAAGACAGAUGUGAAAUCCCCGGGCUUAACCUGGGAACUGCAUUUGUGACUGCAAGGCUGGAGUGCGGCAGAGGGGGAUGGAAUUCCACGUGUAGCAGUGAAAUGCGUAGAGAUGUGGAGGAACACCGAUGGCGAAGGCAGCCCCCUGGGUCAAGAUUGACGCUCAUGCACGAAAGCGUGGGGAGCAAACAGG